rnacentral:rRNA from 1 species
AUGCUUCUCCUAAAGACUAAGCCAUGCAUGCCUUCGAAUAAGAGGAAGCAAUUCUCUCUGAAUCUGCGAACGGCUCCGCAAACCAGUUGUAAACUAUAGCAAGCAAGCCCGGGUCCCCUCGGGGCUCGGGGCAACACGGAUAACCCUGGUAAUUCUGAGGCUAAUACGAGAAAGUACUACCUGGUCGGCCGGGCAACCGGUCGGUCGGGAUGUGUGCGAUCUCCGCUGAAUUUUACCGGAAUGGGCG